rnacentral:lncRNA from 1 species
CGAUAAUUUAGAUAAAUGAAUAUUUAAUUCAUCAUCAAUUUGCAAUAGAUAAUUUUCUUUUCCAACUAUUAUUAUGCAGAAAAUACUGCAAUUUAGAGUUAAAUACAUAAUAUUGUGAUUAAAACAUAUAUUCACAACAAAAAUUUAAAACACAAAAUUCACAAAACAAAGAAUUCUAUGCAUAUAUUCACAUUUUCUAGUCUAAAGACCGAAAGAAAGCGACAUAUAACAUAAGACUAUAUCAAAUGCUUAUAUUAUUCUACAUCUUUUUUAUUUUUACAUUACACAUCACUCUC